GGCGGGUCGAGAGAGCCUAAUAUAACACCCGAAAGGGAAAUAAGCUCCGCCGAUCUUGUGUUUGGUAGUUGAAGCCCGCCACCUACUA
rnacentral:ncRNA from 1 species